GCAACAACCAUCCAGGUCCCGGAAGAUGCCAGCUCUGCCUGGCGCCCGCAGCCCAGAUCUCCUGCCCGGAGUACGGGGGCGCGGGCGCAGCCACCAAAGCUGAAAUGUGACCGCGUCCCGGUCCCUUCCUGCUCUGGGGCGCGAAGCUGCCAAGAAACCGGCUGCGGUCUCCAGGAGGGGCCAGGAGGCAAAAUGGAAGGAAGCGCUGGAUCUCCGCGGCGGAAGUCAUUCUUAUGCCCUGCCAAAGGGUAGAGGGCAGCAACCGACUUGUGCGAAAGGAGGGAACGUGUGGGUCUGCCAGGGUCCUGCAGGGGGGAUGAGACCCUCGCUCCGCUCCGGCGAUCCCUUCGCUCUCCACCCUCGGCCAGCCCCUCCUGUCCUCCAUCAGGCCUCGCUGAGGAUACCUCCUGGGUUCCAAAGCGCGAGUUGAACCUGAGCUUGACAUUCAUUCCGUCUCGUACAAAAGCCAUGCCUGCGGGGAGAGGGAGAAAAUUUCCUACAGGAGCCUCAAGACUGCGUUUCAGGAAGCCCUAGGACCCACUGAUCCUGCAGCUGCGCCUCUCACUCGCCUCAGGGGAUAAACUCAAGGAAGAAAUGGACAUAGCUGUUGAGAAGAGAUGGGGAUUUUCUCAUAAGCCAUGCUACUUUUUUGACCUUAGAACCCACCACGAUGAAUCUCUGAGUCGGUCUCAUCUCCCAGAUCCUCAACUCAACUUUUCUCAGACUGUACUUAAGCACUUUUGUCAAAGUUGGAGUAGAGAAGGUAGGGUGAUAAGAAAGAGCUCCUUUUGCUCUUUUCCACAUGGAUUGUCUCCCUUUUGAUGGCCUCACAAGUCCCCAGAUUUUCCUUUUGACAUUGUUUCAUACAGUAUUUAAAUCUAUUUGUAUACAUGAAACUUAUUUUAAUGCCUGUCUUUCUGAAUCCCUGACUCCAUCCCUAUGUCUCUGGUAUGUUUCUAUCUGUGAUUAUCGACUCCAUAUUAAAAAUGGGACUGCUUGCACUUAUUGCAGUACAUGUGUCAAACUGAUCCCUCAAAACUUCCUGACAAAAAAUAGACCAUUCUAGUUCUUCACUACCUGUUUCUUGAUAGACAGAUCAAAAAAGUCCCUCCAUCCUAAGGGUUUCUCUCUCAUGGCAAAACCUUUGGUGAGAGACACACAUCAAUGUCUGUCAAUGAAACCACUGGAAUAUUGUCCCAAUGUGAAUAUAUUUCCAAUUCAAUCUAUUCUAUUGUCCACAGUAGGCAACCAGAAUUCCCAAGGAACUGUAGAAGGGGUGCCUUUUUUUUUAAGGGAUAAGAAGUAUAUAGACUUGAAUAUCAGGCACAAUUGUGACAGUGAGAAAGUCAUGUAAUUACUUGGAAAUAAGAGGCUAAAGUUUCAGGGUUAAACCAAAAUUGGGAAUGAGACAGCCAUGUUGGAGGGGGUCCCCAGAGAAACUCCAACCAGCCUACCCACUGAGGUGGAGCCUUGGGAAGUUCAUGACAUUUGUAGCAGGGAGGAGCCUGGCCCCUCCUCUUCCUGUGUGGAAUCUGGCAUUCAAGCUACAGGCUGGAAGCACUGUAGCAGGGACGCUGGCCUAGUGAGAGUCCCUGUUUCCCCCUUUUCUUCAUUUUCACCCAAUAAAAUCCUGUCUCACUCACCAUUCAAAUUGUCUGCAAGCCUGAGUUUUCAUGGCUGUGGGACAAAGAACUCUGCCCUUAGCUGAACUAAGGAAAAGUCCUGCAACAUUUUUGGCACCCAACAUGGGGCUCAAGAAGCAGUGAGUGAAAUGAGGACUCAGAACCUCUCACCUUCUGAGGACUUCUGAGGGUUGGGAAUACAUACCCCCAAACCCUGUGGCUCCCUGGGGUUGGGGGAAAGGCCCUUUCCUUCCUUUUUCAGGACAGGGGAGCAGGGGCUCCUUGCUCCCCCUCCCCUCCAUGCUGGGGCUGGGACACAUGGCUCAAGAGUCUCACACAGCCGGGUGGCUGGUUCCCAUCCAGAAGCCACUGCAGCCUUUCCCUUCCCCACCCAAGGGGUUCAGCUCCAUCAGGCAGUAAUUAAACUUUUCUCUCUGGUGGAAGAACCACUUGCCUAAGAAUAAGAGGAUCUCCCCCAGGCAUUUGAAAACUUUCUCUUUUUUCCUCUUCUCCACCCUGUCAGCAAGUUAACUUUUAUAGUUUUUUGUUUUUCCUUUUAGAAGAUGUUUUACUAGGCCAGCCCUGCACCUCCCCCCAAUCCACCCACCAACUAUGACUGUAUUCUUUGCAAAGUUGUGGUUGUGAAAUCAAGCCUCCAUCUUGUUUUACAUCUGGGGGGUGUGGCCAGUUACUGCCUGGCAAGGAUUUGUUUAGCAACCCUACCUUAGGGGAUGCCCCUCUCAGGUUAAGUAAUCUACAUGUUUUCCUAGCCCUGUCUCUUAAAAGGCCCUACCCAGCAACUGGGUUUUCUUCUGCCUGUCUGUGUGUACUAUAUGUGAUGUCUGUAAAAAUAACUCUAAUUAAUCUGGCCUAAAGAAAAGUGCUUGGAUCUAACAUUUUUUAAAGCUAAAAGCUGUGGUACCUUUCAUUUCACAUGACUUUAAUCUUUAAGAAAUAAAAACAGCCCUAAAGACUAUUCGUAAAAUGCAGGUCAGAUGCAAAGUUUGCUAAUUGUUUUGAGGUUACAAACUGCUUUUUGGGUUUUGAGAGCUAUUUUACUUGUCAGCUACAUCAUUGGUAGGGUCUGGGGACAUAUGGAACUAACCACACCCUUAAUUAUGCUGGAGUCAAAUCUUGGCUGCACUUAUCACACAAUUAAGGCAACUUACCAAGUUUUACCAAAUUGCUAGAAGUUAAUUGAAACUACUAGAAAUAGAUUUACAUGCAAGGUGUGUAAGAACAGUAAAAUGUGUUUUUUUAGUAAAAGGUUAUAAGAAGGCAUGGAAAUGUAAACUUUUGCCUAGAGUUAAAUGAUUGUUUUGAGUUAAAUUAGGAAAAAGCUAAAGGUUCAAAGAAGUGGUGGAAGAAUUGUGGAAAUUAAUCUUGCAGAAGAAGGUCUCUAUGUAAAUAUUUUUGCUAAAUUCAAAAGGGUAUUAAAUGUUUUUUUCUGUAAAUCGAGCAUUGAAAUAAAAACACAACAAGAAAUUCUUAAAAUGCUAAUCUCUUUGGCAAAAUUUAUAAAGGUUUAUAAAAGGUUUUUGGUUCUUUAAAAUUUCUGAGUCAUCAUUUUGGCAAAAUAAAUAACUUACAGUAAUCAGGAAUUCUAUUUCAUAAUAUCAAGUGUUUUAAACCUUGAACAUUUAACAGCCUUCCCAAAAUCAAACUUCAGUUUUAAAAUUGUCUUCCUCGACACCUGGGUUUGUGGAAAGUCCAGAGGGCCCCUGGAAUGUCCAGAGAAAAAGAGGUAAACAGAAUUAUUUAACAUAUUUAGGUACAUGGGAUUGACAAAAUGAUCUUCUUUAGGUUAAGUUAUAUCUUGGUGAAGAAUGCCAAUAUAUGUUCCAAAAUUGUAUGGAGUUUCUAAAAUUCUAAUAUCUGAGUAUAGCUAUCAAUCAUAAUUAAGGUUUUUUGUUAAGUUAUUGUAAAUCACAGAGCUAAUCAAACUUCUCUGUCAAUCAUGUUUCUAACUGUAACUACCCUGGAUAUUUUGCUAUUCAAAAAUUGUUGUUUUAUUUUAAUCCUUUUCAAAAGAUGGUUUAUAAUAAGCUAUAGAACUGUAACAGGUGCUCUCAAAUACAGGUUUCUGAUAACUUUGGAGACUGUGAAAUUGGAAUAAAGAAAAAUAUAUAGGACUCAUAAAGAGCUGAAAUAUUAAUGAAUACAAGCAAAACAAAAACUAAAUGGACUAAACUUAGAAACUGAAGCAAUCCUUUUAACCUUGUUUGGAAUAUUGCUGAUCCUUGUUUUGUUUUUCAGAGUAAAGGAAACUUAUUUUGAACUAUUUUCAGACUUUAAUAAUUAAGUAAGGUAUACACUCCUGUGAUUAAAAUUUAGAACAUGUUUGUUUCUCUCUGCCUGGUUCCUCUAGAAUUUGGAGAAUAUCUGUGAGUAUUCUUAACUUAUGGCAAUGUAGUUGUUUGCAUCAAUGCAAUAAAAAUCCAUUUUUCUUUUGCAAAAGGACACAAUUGGAAAAAUGGUUAUUUUACCAAGGCUUUGACUGGAAGGGUAUGUUUCCCUUUAAGGAGUAAAGCUUGACUUACAGAGCUGAUAAAAGACCCGUGGGAGACUGGCCUCAUACCCUCAUCUACACAGUCCCUGUACAGGGUUCUUGACUUGUUGUCAGUAAGAAUGUCACUUUCUAACAGGUCCAGGAGCUCCAAGUUUAUUGUGGGACCUUAAGAGGAAAGGGUUACCCAACUCACAGCUGUUUGAGGAUAAAAACUCAUGGUUGGGCUUGGCUUUAAAAGGUCUUAUCUGAGAUUCCUUGUGGAACAAACUUCCAUCAAAGCCAAUCCAGAAGGCCUAUAUAGAAAUAAUUAUUCUUAAUACACUUUAUGCAAAUAAUCAGGCCAAGCAUAAAACUAAAGUCUAUUUUGCAAAGAGCUCAGUCCUAUUAUACAUUGUUUUUUUAACAAAAAUGAGGACUGAAAAGAGAGAAAUUAUGUACCAAAACUUGCAUAUAUUUUAAUUAAAUUCUAAACUCACUACUUGUUUUUAAGUUUAUGCCUACAUUUUAAACUUACCCUGCUUGUUCCUAUGAAACUACCAGCAAUCUCUGGCUGCAGCUCAGAAAGAACAAGAGGGAUAGGUAAUGUAGAAAUCCAGGUCAAUAUUCUAUUUCUGAGCAAUUAUCCUGCAAAUCCUGCCAGGUGAUGGGAAUAAAUAGGAUGCUCAUCACUUGGAGAUUUCCUUUUGGGAAAGUAAAACCAAGGGAGCUAACCAAAACCAAGCACCAGGCACCCAAAUCCCAGCAAGCAUAACUAUAGCCGCCAGGUAUCUGAGUGUGUCACAAGACAUCCUUUCCUUUCCUUUGUUGGAGUAGGACUCAGUUCCACAGUUUCAACUUAGCAUUUGGCUUAUGAUAAAGGGUCCAUGCAACCCCCUGCCCCCCACCCUGAGACACAUUUUUGUCCCAGACUCAAUUUCAAGCUUCAGGUCAAAGCCGUAGGAAAGAAAACUGGAUAUAAGGGAUCCAGAGGCAGAUGACAACAGAAGUUAAAAGGCACAGCACAGAGAAGCAUAGCGGAUUCCUACUGAUUAAAACAACCCCAAGCUUUCUGUUUCAUAGAUAAAAGCCAUGUUAGUAUCCGUGGCAUAAAUGAGGUCUAGGGAACUCCGAGGCUACUGACAGUAGGUGGAAAAGAGACCUAGGUGAGAACAGAUAAUUCCUAUUCUCUAGGCACCCUGCUUCAUGGGUUCAAGCCGCUUUGGCACUCAUGGCAGGACCUGCCAGUGUCACCAGAAAUGGGGGAUGCAAGGACGGAAGAGGGAAAAGAAGAUACUCUUCCCUCUCUCCCUCAUGUACCUUGGGUAUCUGCUAGGAAGAGAAGCAAACUGGGGACAUCUGAUCCCCUCUUGCUAGAUGGGUAGCCAUUCAUCUUCAGUCUGUAUCCCUUUAAAGUGCAUCCGGAACCCCUGGGACUUCUUUGAAAAAAAUAAACACCUUCUUUUUUCCUCUCUCCUCCUAGGAAAUUAAUACACCAUUAUUUUCAAAGUGCUGCUAAUUUAUAAGACAACAUUGGUUUUUAAUUGUUCUGAUUUUCAAAAAUAUCUGCUGACUUAAAAUAUGAAGAUUGUAUUCAAGUGUUCUGAUUUUCAUUGAAGUUAAAAAUUUGUCUUAAAUACUAGACAUUUACUUCUAUCAAUUUUCUCACAAUGUUUUUAUACCUUUUUCUCAGUUAUUGUAACAUUAGUGUUCUUUUUAAUCAAUAUAUUAUGAAUGUCACUUUUUAUCCAUCACAUUAAUUACAAAUGUUUUUCUCUAGUUUUUGGUUUCCUAUAACUUACUUCCUAAAUAUAUAAAAUAAACAGAAAUAAUUUUAUGUGUGUAGAAUAUUUUUACUUAAGAAGAAUAGAUUGUCAAAUUA
rnacentral:lncRNA from 1 species